rnacentral:tRNA from 1 species
GCGAGGAUGGCGGAAUUGGUAGACGCGCCAGGUUGAGGGCCUGGUGGCCGAUAGGCCGUGAGGGUUCGAUUCCCUUUUCUCGCA